UGCCCUAGUAACGGCGAGUGAAGCGGCAACAGCUCAAAUUUGAAAGCUAGCCUUCGGGUUCGCAUUGUAAUUUGUAGAGGAUGAUUUGGGGAAGCCGCCUGUCUAAGUUCCUUGGAACAGGACGUCAUAGAGGGUGAGAAUCCCGUAUGUGACAGGAAAUGGCACCCUAUGUAAAUCUCCUUCGACGAGUCGAGUUGUUUGGGAAUGCAGCUCUAAAUGGGAGGUAAAUUUCUUCUAAAGCUAAAUAUUGGCGAGAGACCGAUAGCGCACAAGUAGAGUGAUCGAAAGAUGAAAAGCACUUUGGAAAGAGAGUUAAAAAGCACGUGAAAUUGUUGAAAGGGAAGCGCUUGCAAUCAGACUUGUUUAAACUGUUCGGCCGGUCUUCUGACCGGUUUACUCAGUUUGGACAGGCCAGCAUCAGUUUCGGCGGCCGGAUAAAGGCUCUGGGAAUGUGGCCUUCACUUCGGUGGAGGUGUUAUAGCCCAGGGUGUAAUACGGCCAGCCGGGACUGAGGUCCGCGCUUCGGCUAGGAUGCUGGCGUAAUGGUUGUAAGCGACCCGUCUUGAAACACGGACCAAGGAGUCUAACAUCUAUGCGAGUGUUCGGGUGUCAAACCCCUGCGCGUAAUGAAAGUGAACGGAGGUGGGAACCGCAAGGUGCACCAUCGACCGAUCCUGAUGUCUUCGGAUGGAUUUGAGUAAGAGCAUAGCUGUUGGGACCCGAAAGAUGGUGAACUAUGCCUGAAUAGGGUGAAGCCAGAGGAAACUCUGGUGGAGGCUCGCAGCGGUUCUGACGUGCAAAUCGAUCGUCAAAUUUGGGUAUAGGGGCGAAAGAC
rnacentral:rRNA from 1 species